AUUUGAUGAUUUCCUAGAUGACGAGUCGGACUGGGUUUUCCACUGGCGACAACUUAUUUUUUUUUUUACCAUUCAUGCAUAACUGAAU
rnacentral:snoRNA from 1 species